GACAGAGGGGGCAAGCGUUGCUCGGAAUCACUGGGCGUAAAGGGCGCGUAGGCGGGAUGGCAAGUCGGUCGUGAAAUCCUUCGGCUCAACCGAAGAACGUCGGCCGAUACUGCCGUUCUUGAGGGAUGCAGAGGAGAUUGGAAUUCCCGGUGUAGCGGUGAAAUGUGUAGAGAUCGGGAGGAACACCGGUGGCGAAGGCGGGUCUCUGGGCAUCUACUGACGCUGAGGUGCGAGAGCGUGGGGAGCGAACCGG
rnacentral:rRNA from 1 species